CAUUGAUACAUAUUUAUGAAGCAACAAAAACUCUAAAGAGUAGAAGAAGAAGAAAUUUGAGAGAGAAGUAAAACCCUAGUUUUGCUUUCAAUUACAAAGCCCCAAAUCACCACCACCGCUCCUCGCCGGCCAGUUUUCCGGUCAGGUGUUGUAUCUGCUUGCACAAACUCUGCCUGUUGUGUUGUGUUGCUUCACGGAAUCUCAAAAGAUGACAAAGGGAGCGGCAAUGUCGUCUUCUGCUGUGUCGGUUCGUGAUAACGUGAUCAAUUUGGAAGUUUGUGAAAGAUCAAUCCGUUCAGAAGGUGAAUCUCUCAAUAAGUUGGAUGAUGAUACACUCGUUCAAAUUCUUUGUGGUUUACCCCUUAAAGAUGCGGCAAGAACGAGUGUCCUUUCACGUAGAUGGAGGCACUUAUGGCGCCGUUCACUCAUGUAUCCGUUGAAUAAUAUGUAAAUUUCCAUCAAGAACCUAAUGCUAGUACUGUGACCCGUAAAUGAAUCUUGAGAUGAUGUUUAUAAAACAGAUGUUGUGAAGAUAAUAGAGAAAGCAGA